rnacentral:rRNA from 1 species
GACGAACGCUGGCGGCGUGCUUAACACAUGCAAGUCGAACGGAAAGGCCCUGCUUUUGUGGGGUACUCGAGUGGCGAACGGGUGAGUAACACGUGAGUAACCUGCCCUUGACUUUGGGAUAACUUCAGGAAACUGGGGCUACUACCGGAUAGGAGCUCCUGCUGCAUGGUGGGGGUUGGAAAGUUUCGGCGGUUGGGGAUGGACUCGCGGCUUAUCAGCUUGUUGGUGGGGUAGUGGCUUACCAAGGCUUUGACGGGUAGCCGGCCUGAGAGGGUGACCGGCCACAUUGGGACUGAGAUACGGCCCAGACUCCUACGGGAGGCAGCAGUGGGGAAUAUUGCACAAUGGGCGGAAGCCUGAUGCAGCAACGCCGCGUGCGGGAUGACGGCCUUCGGGUUGUAAACCGCUUUCGCCUGUGACGAAGCGUGAGUGACGGUAAUGGGUAAAGAAGCACCGGCUAACUACGUG